UGGGCGUAAAGGGUAUGUAGNCGGUCUAUUAAGUUAGAUGUGAAAAAUCUGGGCUCAACCGAGAUCUUGCGUCUAAUACUGAUAGGCUAGAGUCUCUGAGAGGAAGGCGGAAUUCCUGGUGUAGGGGUGAAAUCUAUAGAUAUCAGGAAGAACACCGGUUGCGAAGGCGGCCUUCUGGCAGAGGACUGACGCUGAGGUACGAAAGUUAGGGUAGCAAACAGGAUUAGAGACCCUGGUAGUCCUAACCGUAAACGUUGUAUACUAGGUGGUUGAAGUAUUGAUCCUUUGACUGCCGCAGCAAACGCAUUAAGUAUACCGCCUGGGGAGUAUGCCGGCAACGGUGAAACUCAAAGGAAUUGACGGGGCCCCGCACAAGCAGUGGAGCAUGUUGCCUAAUUCGAUGAUACGCGAGUAACCUUACCAGGUCUUGACAUAUACCUGUCUGGUGUAGAAAUACAUCAUUGCUUCGGCACGGGUAUACAGGUGCUGCAUGGUUGUCGUCAGCUCGUGCCGUGAGGUGUUGGGUUAAGUCCCGCAACGAGCGCAACCCUUAUUCUUUGUUGCUAACAGGUUAAGCUGAGCACUCUAAGGAGACUGCCGGUGACAAACCGGAGGAAGGUGGGGACGACGUCAAAUCAUCACGGCCCUUAUGACCUGGGCUGCAAACGUGCUACAAUGGGUGGUACAAAGAGUUGCGAGACCGCGAGGUGGAGCUAAUCUCAAAAAACUAUCCUCAGUUCGGAUUGGAGUCUGAAACCCGACUCUAUGAAGUUGGAAUUGCUAGUAAUCGCACAUCAUCAUGGUGCGGUGAAUACGUUCACCGGGGCUUGUACACACCGCCCGUCACAUCACCCGAGUUGAUAUACCCGAAGUACCUGAGCUAACGGUUUACACGGGGCAAGGUCCUAAGGUAAUGCUUGGCACGGGGGAUGAAGUCGUAA
rnacentral:rRNA from 1 species